AGCCCCUGAUGACGAACCAAAUAACUUUUCUGACACCUCGUAUGAGAGCUACGCUCCUGAUUCUAACUCAGUUCUGAGGCUC
ensembl:snoRNA small nucleolar RNA SNORD60